rnacentral:rRNA from 1 species
AUUGAACGCUGGCGGCAUGCUUUACACAUGCAAGUCGAACGGUAACAGGCCGCAAGGUGCUGACGAGUGGCGAACGGGUGAGUAAUGCAUCGGAACGUGCCCAGUCGUGGGGGAUAACGCAGCGAAAGCUGCGCUAAUACCGCAUACGAUCUAUGGAUGAAAGCGGGGGACCGUAAGGCCUCGCGCGAUUGGAGCGGCCGAUGUCAGAUUAGGUAGUUGGUGGGGUAAAGGCUCACCAAGCCAACGAUCUGUAGCUGGUCUGAGAGGACGACCAGCCACACUGGGACUGAGACACGGCCCAGACUCCUACGGGAGGCAGCAGUGGGAAAUUUUGGACAAUGGGCGCAAGCCUGAUCCAGCAAUGCCGCGUGCAGGAAGAAGGCCUUCGGGUUGUAAACUGCUUUUGUACGGAACGAAACGGCUCUCUCUAAUACAGGGGGUUAAUGACGGUACCGUAAGAAUAAGCACCGGCUAACUACGUGCCAGCAGCCGCCGUAAGAC